GCCUUCGUGGUGUAGUGGUUUGCACGCUGGGCCAAUAUUCCAGAGGUCCGCGAUUCGAUUCCUGGCGAAGGCG
rnacentral:tRNA from 1 species